UGGUAUGCUAAAUUGCAUGCGAAGCAUUGUCAAGUAAAUGAUGAUAAACCUUCUCAGGUUGUAUUACAUAGGUAAAUAUUAUUCACUAUCUUAAGCCUGCUACCUUGUUUCCAACAUCACAAGAGGAAAAGACCAUGACUGUAUUCUAUUAUCUAAUUCAGCUUAGAGAUGAGACUUACUUAAACAAUAAGUAAGGAUGCUAUCAAGUUGGAUAUGCUGUCCAGCCUCGAGAAUGCCCACUACUUUCUUUUAACUCUGCUAACCCAGUAAAAGAUUUCCUUCUAAAUAUUCAAAAAAGUCACCACAGAAGGAGAAAUAAAGGUGACAAUAAAAGGGGGAAAACAAUACUUCUGGAUACUUUCUCCCACAGUGACCCAUAAAGCCUGUACUUGUUGCACUAUAUGGCCAAAGUAAAAUUCAGGGAAACUAUUUCAUGAAUCACAAGGCCACUUUCCCCUUUCUAAGGGAGCCUUUGAGGUAUAGCAAUUAGACUUUGUUCAAAUGCCACCAUCUCAAGGAUAAAUAUAUCUUGUAGUGACCUGUAUGUUCUCAUGUUGGGUUGAGGCCUUUCCUUGCAGAAGAGUGAUGGCUUUAGGUAAAUUAUCGUUGGAGAGAAUGGUUCCUGUGUGGAGAAUUCCUAUGGAGUCCCAUAGUGACUGGGGAACUCAUUUCUCCAGACAAAUAAUUAAAUCUAUUUGUAACAUUUGGCCAAUAACGCAGCAUUUCUACUAUGCUUACUAUCUCCAAUCCUCAGGAUUGGUGGAAAGAGCUAAUGGCAAAAUCAAAACCCAAUUGGCAAAGCUUUCAGAAGCAUUUAAUCUCUCAUGGCCAAAAGCUCUCCUGCUCGUGCUCCUCAAUCUUAGAUCUACACCCUUUGGUGAACAUCGGCUGUCCCUCUGGAGAUAAUAAUGGAAUGGCCUAUGCAAUUAGAUGAAGGAAUGUGUGAACUAACUUUGCUUAAAGGAGAGAGCUUAAUUAUUGUCAAGGUGUCAUCGAGACACUUACAAGAAUUGAGAGGUUGGUAGCUGAUUCUUUUCACAGAGAGCUCCUGGUAGAUGAAGACCUUAAGGAUCAUGGACUAUAACCUGGAGAAUUUAUUUCUUGGAAGUGGCAUCAAAUAAAAGACUCUCUGCAGCCAUGUUGGAAAGGACCAUGCUGGGUACUUUUAACCAAUUCAUGCGCUGCAGAAUCAAAAGGCAUAUGCGCUGCAGAAUCAAAUGGCAUAGACUCAUGGAUUCACAUUUUUCAUUUAAAAAAGGUUUCUGCACCUGAGUGGCUUUCAGUUCCUGUUUCUGAUACUUGACUUCAACUGACCAAUGCAAAUAUUUCCAAACCAGGAUGAAAAGAAGACAGCCUCUGUUGUAGACAGCUGUCCCAAGACUCUGGACCAGGCCUGUAUUCCCGACCUUAUAUCUCCUCAUUUAAACCUUUGUAGUGCUUAAACUGUACCUAUUUUAUAACUGUUCCUUUUAAGGUUUUCAGAAUACUAUUAUACUUAGAGAAAGUGAUUGAUUUGGAACAGACUGGUCUCAAAGGCAGGCAUUUUUUGAGUGGCUCCUAAUGGAACUCACUGGUUGUGUAGAACAAAUCUCUGGCCUUGGCUACUGUCUGGAUGGCUAAAACACUGCACCCUGAGCUUCCCUUGGAUGCAGGGAAGGAGUCACACUGAGCUAACACCUGCAACAAUCUUCCUCUCUUUAAGGCCAGGUGGGCUCAUUCAGUGUUCCACUGGUGUGGCCACCUAGUGGCUAUAUUUGUUCCUUCCUUGGGGCUAGAAGAUGUCAUUAUCAUGUAUAGAAGCCCUGACUAAAUUAAGUCAACAAGCCCUUAAUGACAGUCAAUCAGGAAUAGCCUUAUUAAAUACUGAAAUGUCCUUAAUGAAAAAGGCUGUCCUUUAAAACAGAAUGGCUUUAGAUAUUUUAACUGCAUCCCAAGGUGGUACAUAUACAAUCGUUCAGACUGAAUGCUGUGUUUUCAUACCAGAUGAAUCUUCCAAUGUGUCAUCUCUGCUAAAGCACGUGAAACAGCAGGUGAAUGUCUUAAAUGAAUCUUUCGUAAUUGUAAACAAUGUGAACAUAAGGAGUCCAUUAUAUAACAUUAAAGCCUCUUAAAGGCUUCCUCUGUUAAGGUAUACCUCUAUGCUUGUCUGACUGUUUCCCCCCAACAUGGAUAACUAGGCAAAUAAGUGAGGGAAAAGCCUAGCACUGAGGUGGCAGCAACCACCCUGGCACUGAGGGAUAGUAUUUUGAUCAUCAGUGCUUUCUAUCAAAAGAUUAUAGAUCAAAAGGGGGAAAAUGUGAAAUGAAUGGCAAGCAAUAGGAUAUAUUGGAAUAUUUGAGGAAGCCAUUUGGGUUAAAACUAAUCUGGCCUGACCUUGUGUUUCCAAAAAAUGCCUGGCGUGGCCUAUUGAGCAUGUGUUGUACAUCUGCUUUAAAUAUUUACUCUGUCUCAAUGACAAGAAUGAUGCACCCAAAGAUGGGAAUGUAACCUCCCUCAUGUUGGCGUUUCCUUUAGGAUAAGCAUCUCUCCCUAAACUAAGGAUGCGUUACUGACCUGCUGUGAUCACCUUGUGACCACUCACUUUGUGACCACUGACCUGCCGACCACCGAUCUGCUGUGCCAGCUAAACAUCUCAUGACAAUCGUAAAUGGGACAUUCCUAUCAUUUGUGAUGUCAGCUUCAUUGGAUGAUUUGGAUGUGUAGUGGUGUUUUUUGAGAAAGAACGCUAUCCUUCCAGCCUCGCGUUUCCAGUCAUAAGUUCUCCUUGGCCCUGUUGAAGCACGUCCUGGAGGAAGCAUUGCAAGCUGAGGGGGGAGAGAUUCCAAAGGCUUCAGAGGAGACCCAGGGAGGGCAAGCCCUGGGCCUCACGUCUGGGACCUUAUCAUAGAGUGGUCUCAUCAGAGGAUGUGAGAGCCGGAAGUGACCUUGAGAACUUCUGCUUCUACUGUCUCAAUUUCAGAGAACAAAUUGAGCUUAGAGAAAACCUAUCUGGUGCUAGAACUGGGAUUUGAACUGAGAAACUGUCCCCAGUCUUGGGAAAACAUUUAUGUUAUUCAAAAUCACCUGAUAUGUUCUCAUUAGUUAUUGCUAAGGUAUUCUUAUAAUAAAAGUGAUAUUGUGGAUGCAUGUAAAUGCAUAAAAAUGAGCAGCAGCAGCAGCAGCAUCACUUUUCACGGAGUAUUUGAAAACAAAACUCUGGCAUCCGCCCCAGAUAAAAGACUCGAAUAAUUUUCUAGAAGCCUGAGGACCAGAUUCUAGAUCAAACUUCUAAACUGGCUUGAAUCCUAGUCCAGUUUCUGGCCUCCAACCUUCCUGGUGGGAAAUGAUUAUUGACCCUCCCCACGAGGGUGUGUGGACAGAGCGUAGAUUUUGCCCCUCCUUUGGAUGUUGCAUGGAGAAUUGGGGCCAACACUCUUCUUUGCAAGCAAGAGGCCAUAAUGGGAAGACAGAAUCAGAAAGCCUGAAUAUUUGGAUUUCCCCAGUGCCCCUUCUGUAAGCAACCCUCCCUGCCUGUGUGGUCAGCAGGUCCUUGGGGCAGAACACUACCAAGCGUCGUGACAGAGCUCUUGUCAGCAGCGGUGCCAGCUCCCAGGAGCUAAUCCAGUUAGUGGGGUCCCCUCUUUGUUCCUCAUGACAGGGCCUUCCAGGGGCUGCUCCAUUGGCCAACCACAGUUCCUGAGGAGGGACUUUCUUCCAGAGUCUUCCAAGUUCCAAACUCCAGCUCCUUCAGUAACAAGAUAGUUCUCUAUUAUUCUUUCUAAAGGCGCCCCACAGCGCAGUUCCUGCUUUGUUGCAGUGUUUUCUGACCUGUGGGCUUCAUAUUCCUAAGAAGCCAUUGAAUUACUGCAAGAACAUAUGAAUCACUGUUACACCAAGUAUGUCUGUAACCUGAAUAAACAAUGUUAAUGACGA